CUUUCCUUGAUGACGACUGGCGCACGGGUGAGUAACGCGUAUCCAACCUUCCCAUAACUACGGGAUAACCCGUUGAAAGACGGCCUAAUACCGUAUGAUAUCGUUUGCUGACAUCAAAUAACGAUUAAAGGUUUAGCGGUUAUGGAUGGGGAUGCGUCUGAUUAGCUUGUUGGCGGGGUAACGGCCCACCAAGGCGACGAUCAGUAGGGGUUCUGAGAGGAAGGUCCCCCACAUUGGAACUGAGACACGGUCCAA
rnacentral:rRNA from 1 species